rnacentral:rRNA from 1 species
GACGAACGCUGGCGGCGUGCUUAACACAUGCAAGUCGAGCGGUAAGGCCCUUUCGGGGUACGACGAGCGGCGAACGGGUAGGAGUAACAACGUGGGUGGACCUCGCCCUCCAGCUCUUGGGAGUAAAGACCUCGGGAAACGUAGGGUCGUAAUAACCGGACGUAUGACUCCAUGACGCAUGUUGUGGGGUGGGAAAGACCUU